rnacentral:rRNA from 1 species
CGAGUGGCGAACGGGUGAGUAAUGCAUCGGAACGUGCCCAUGUCGUGGGGGAUAACGUANCGAAAGCUACGCUAAUACCGCAUACGUCCUGAGGGAGAAAGCGGGGGAUCUUCGGACCUCGCGCGAUUGGAGCGGCCGAUGUCGGAUUAGCUAGUUGGUGGGGUAAAGGCCCACCAAGGCGACGAUCCGUAGCGGGUCUGAGAGGAUGAUCCGCCACACUGGGACUGAGACACGGCCCAGACUCCUACGGGAGGCAGCAGUGGGGAAUUUUGGACAAUGGGCGCAAGCCUGAUCCACCCAUGCCGCGUGAGUGAAGAAGGCCUUCGGGUUGUAAAGCUCUUUCGGCCGGGAAGAAAUCGUGUUCUCUAACAUAGGACAUGGAUGACGGUACCGGACUAAGAAGCACCGGCUAACUACGUGCCA